GACAGAGGAUGCAAGCGUUAUCCGGAAUGAUUGGGCGUAAAGCGUCUGUAGGUGGCUUUAAGUCCGCCGUCAAAUCCCAGGGCUCAACCCUGGACAGGCGGUGGAAACUACCAAGCUGGAGUACGGUAGGGCAGAGGGAAUUCCGGUGGAGCGGUGAAAUGCGUAGAGAUCGGAAGAACACCAACGGCGAAAGCACUCUGCUGGCCGACACUGACACUGAGAGACGAAAGCUAGGGAGCGAAUGGGAUUAGAACCGGUACCGUC
rnacentral:rRNA from 1 species